rnacentral:misc_RNA from 1 species
GAUGAAGAACGUAGCGAAAUGCGAUACGUAAUGUGAAUUGCAGAAUUCAGUGAAUCAUCGAGUCUUUGAACGCACAUUGCGCCCGCCAGUAUUCUGGCGGGCAUGCCUGUCCGAGCGUCAUUUCAACCCUCGAACCCCUCCGGGGGGUCGGCGUUGGGGAUCGGCCCUGCCUCUGGCGGUGGCCGUCUCCGAAAUACAGUGGCGGUCUCGCCGCAGCCUCUCCUGCGCAGUAGUUUGCACACUCGCAUCGGGAGCGCGGCGCGUCCACAGCCGUUAAACACCCAACUUCUGAAAUGUUGACCUCGGAUCAGGUAGGAAUACCCGCUGAACUUAAGCAUAUCAAUAAGCGGAGGA